UUCCUCGGAGGCAGCGGCCGGCGGCGUGGGAGCAGGCUGAGGGGCACUGUCACCCUGGCCAGCUGUCUGAAAGCCGGAGGGAGCGUGAACUGAGGAGGAAGGGCCUGCGGGAACACGCGCCCCUGCCUGGGGACGCCUGCUUCCCAUCAGCCUGGCCCAGGGACUCACAGAGCGGAACGAUGGAAGCAUCUCAUGAUGGGAGGAUCCUUGAGCAGCUCCUUGGAGGACUUCAUAACCCGGAACCUUCGUCUUGGGCUUUGCAUGAGUGAGAAAUAAACCUUUACUGGGACGCACCUCCAGCAUCACCCAAAGGCUCUGGCAGUUUUACAGACAGCUUCUCUUCAGCCUCACCCUGAGUCUCUUUCCAGCCAUCUGUCUGAGGCUGAGCAAAGCCCAGAUUGGGGUUUCAUUUAUCCUCUUUCUCAAACUGCUGGCUGAGGGAGGCCGGCCCCAAACAUAGGACGCAGCUUUCUGACAGCACAGGCAGGAGCCCGGCUUGGU